rnacentral:rRNA from 1 species
GGUUGAUCCUGCCAGUAGUCAUAUGCUUGUCUCAAAGAUUAAGCCAUGCAUGUCUAAGUAUAAACAACUUUGUACUGUGAAACUGCGAAUGGCUCAUUAAAUCAGUUAUAGUUUAUUUGAUUAUACCUUACUACUUGGAUAACCGUGGUAAUUCUAGAGCUAAUACAUGCUAAAAAUCCCGACUUCUGGAAGGGAUGUAUUUAUUAGAUAAAAAACCAACGCGGGCAACCGCUUGUCUGGUGAUUCAUAAUAACUUUUCGAAUCGAAUGACCUUGUGUCGUCGAUGUUUCAUU